GCGGCUGUAGCGGCCGCGACCGGGGCGGGCGGAGGAGUGUGACGGGCCUCGGGGCCUCUGUGGAUGGUUUCUAAAAUGAUCAUUGAAAACUUCGAGGCACUGAAAUCCUGGCUCAGCAAGACUCUCGAGCCCAUCUGUGACGCAGAUCCAUCAGCCUUAGCAAAGUAUGUUCUUGCUUUGGUGAAAAAAGACAAAAGUGAAAAAGAGUUAAAGGCAUUAUGUAUUGAUCAACUGGAUGUAUUUCUUCAAAAAGAGACUCAGAUAUUUGUGGAAAAACUUUUUGAUGCUGUGAAUACAAAGAGUUAUCUACCUCCCCCAGAGCAGCCAUCGUCAGGAAGCUUAAAGGUAGAAUUUUUUCAGCACCAAGAAAAAGAUAUAAAAAAAGAAGAGAUCAUAAAGGAGGAAGAGCGAGAGAAGAAGUUUUCCAGAAGGCUAAAUCACAGUCCUCCACAGUCAAGCUCUCGAUACAGAGAAAAUAGAAGUCGUGAUGAGAGGAAAAAAGAUGAUCGUUCUCGCAAAAGAGAUUAUGAUCGAAACCCUCCUCGAAGAGAUUCCUACAGAGACCGGUACAAUAGACGGCGAGGGAGAAGUCGCAGUUACAGCAGGAGUCGGAGUCGAAGUUGGAGUAAAGAGAGACUACGUGACAGAGACAGGGAUAGAAGCAGGACUAGAAGCAGAAGCAGAACACGAAGCAGGGAAAGGGAUCUGGUAAAACCAAAAUAUGAUCUGGAUAGAACAGAUCCACUGGAAAACAACUAUACUCCAGUUUCUUCGGUACCUAAUAUUUCAUCUGGUCACUACCCUGUACCUACUUUGAGCAGCACUAUAACAGUAAUUGCUCCUACACAUCAUGGUAAUAACACUACCGAAAGUUGGUCUGAAUUUCAUGAAGAUCAAGUGGACCAUAACUCGUAUGUCAGACCACCAAUGCCAAAGAAACGGUGUAGAGACUAUGAUGAAAAGGGUUUCUGUAUGAGAGGAGACAUGUGCCCUUUUGAUCAUGGAAGUGACCCAGUAGUUGUAGAAGAUGUGAAUCUGCCCGGUAUGCUGCCUUUCCCAGCACAGCCUCCUGUUGUUGAAGGACCACCUCCUCCUGGACUCCCCCCACCUCCACCAAUUCUUACACCCCCACCUGUGAAUUUGAGACCCCCAGUGCCACCACCAGGCCCAUUACCUCCCAGUCUACCACCUGUCACAGAUGAUAUUUCUUAUUCUUUGGUUUUGACAGGACCACCACCUCCACUUCCUCCUUUGCAGCCAUCUGGCAUGGAUGCUCCCCCAAAUUCUGCAACCAGUUCUGUUCCUGCUGUAGUAACAACUGGCAUUCAUCACCAGCCUCCUCCUGCUCCACCCUCCCUUUUUACUGCAGUUUUUGUAUUACCAGAUACAUAUGACACAGAUGGCUAUAAUCCUGAGGCCCCAAGCAUAACAAACACUUCCAGACCUAUGUAUAGGCACAGAGUGCAUGCGCAAAGGCCCAACUUGAUAGGACUGACAUCAGGAGAUAUGGAUUUGCCACCCAGAGAAAAGCCUCCUAAUAAAAGCACUAUGAGGAUAGUAGUGGAUUCAGAGUCAAGGAAAAGAACCAUAGGUUCUGGGGAGCCUGGAGUUACCACAAAGAAGACUUGGUUUGAUAAACCAAAUUUUAAUAGGACAAACAGCCCAGGAUUCCAGAAAAAGGUUCAGUUUGGAAAUGAAAAUACCAAACUUGAACUUAGAAAAGUUCCUCCAGAAUUAAAUAAUAUCAGCAAACUUAAUGAACAUUUUAGUCGAUUUGGAACUCUGGUUAACUUACAGGUUGCUUUUAAUGGUGAUCCUGAAGGUGCCCUUAUCCAAUUUGCAACUUAUGAAGAAGCAAAGAAAGCAAUAUCAAGUACAGAAGCAGUGCUAAACAAUCGCUUUAUUAAGGUUUAUUGGCACAGAGAAGGAAGCACCCAGCAGUUACAGACUACUUCUCCAAAAGUAAUGCAGCCUUUAGUCCAGCAGCCCAUUUUGCCUGUUGUGAAGCAGUCGGUCAAAGAACGGUUGGGUCCAGUACCCUCAAGUACUAUUGAACCAGCCGAAGCCCAGAGUGCCAGUUCAGACCUUCCUCAGGUGUUAUCUACAUCUACUGGCCUAACAAAAACGGUGUAUAAUCCAGCUGCUUUGAAGGCUGCACAAAAAACCUUACUUGUUUCCCCCUCUGCAGUUGAUAAUAAUGAAGCACAGAAAAAAAAACAGGAGGCACUGAAGCUUCAGCAGGAUGUAAGGAAAAGGAAACAAGAAAUUUUAGAAAAGCACAUUGAAACACAGAAGAUGUUAAUUUCAAAGUUGGAGAAAAACAAAGCAAUGAAGUCUGAAGAUAAAGCAGAAAUAAUGAAAACAUUAGAGGUUUUGACAAAAAAUAUUACCAAGUUGAAAGAUGAGGUCAAAGCUACUUCUCCUGGACGCUGUCUUCCAAAAAGUAUAAAAACCAAGACUCAGAUGCAGAAAGAAUUGCUUGACACAGAGCUGGAUUUAUAUAAGAAGAUGCAAGCUGGAGAAGAAGUCACUGAACUUAGGAGAAAGUAUACAGAAUUACAGCUGGAAGCUGCAAAGCGAGGGAUUCUUUCAACUGGCCGGGGUAGAGGAAUUCAUUCAAGGAGUCGAGGCGCAGCUCAUGGCCGAGGCAGGGGUCGGGGUCGGGGUCGAGGUCGAGGUCGAGGUGUGCCUGGACAUGCUGUGGUGGAUCACCGUCCCAGGGCACUGGAGAUUUCUGCAUUUACGGAGAGUGAUAGAGAAGAUCUUCUUCCUCAUUUUGCGCAAUAUGGUGAGAUUGAAGAUUGUCAGAUUGAUGACUCUUCACUUCAUGCAGUAAUUACAUUCAAGACGAGAGCAGAAGCUGAAGCAGCUGCAGUUCAUGGAGCUCGUUUCAAAGGGCAGGAUCUAAAACUGGCAUGGAAUAAACCAAUAACUAACAUUUCAGCUGUUGAAACAGAAGAAGUUGAACCUGAUGAAGAGGAAUUUCAGGAAGAGUCUCUGGUGGAUGACUCAUUACUUCAAGAUGAUGAUGAAGAAGAAGAGGACAAUGAAUCUCGUUCUUGGAGAAGAUGAUUUGACUGAUCGUUGAUCUGCAUAUGCUAGAACUCUACCUGUGUUUCAUUAGUAUUAUCUAAUGUACUUUUACAUAUUUGUAAAAACAAUUUUUGGUAAAUGUGAUGGAGAUGGAUUUCACAAAUAGACAAAAGAGAAGAAAACUACCUUCUGAUCCUGUAUUUUGAAAGAUUGAUGUUUGCAUUUUAUUUCAGUAAACAAUUGCUAAAGACAUACUAGAAACAUGCAAUGUUUUUUUACAUACUUCUACUGAACAUUAUGGAAUUCUUCGGGUUCUUUGUAAUUUAAUGAGUAGGUCUGAAAACUUAUGACCAAUACUUGUUAUAACUUAGAGGAUUUUGUUUUACUCCAAAUAAGGAAUGAAUUUGCAUUUAAAAUCUUAAUGAAUGUUUUCAAAAAUGAAUAGAUAACAUAGUACUCUAACUAAAAUCUCCAAGUAUGUAUUCAUAUUAUUACAUAGUAGUAUGCUUAGGCUUUACUAUGUAUUAGCCUUUUGUUGGACUUGUGUAUGUAUUUUACCAUAUGGGUUUCAUUGAUAAUGGUGUAUGACUGCUUUGCAUAUGACUCCCUUCUUAUGCAUUCAGAUGUUUAAAAUAAAGUGGAAUGGUCUCUUAAAAAGAAAAGAAAAGAAAAGAAAACAAUGACAAAAAAAAAAAACAAUACAAUGUUCCUUGAUUCAAAAAAAAAAGAAAAGAAAAGAAAGAUAAGAAAAAAAGUUAAAAAUAGACCAUUCCUGAUGGUAAUAUACCCUUCCCCCCAAUUAUCACAAAAGGAGCUAUAAUCACUUACUCUUAAUAACCAUGGUUACUGGUACCUUUACAAUAAUGUACAAUCCAAUGUUUAAAAUUUAUACCACUUCAGUUUGAUCCUAUAAAUUUUCAACAGAUGUUUUAAAAUUUAAAAGCAGGCUGAUUAGUUUGGAACCAGACUUCAAGUAGAGCUAACAUUUGGUGAAUAAGAAAACCAUCACAUUACAUUUUGGAUGUAUGAAAGAAAACUUGACCAUUUGAAGAUGUAUGAAUAAAGAAAUGUACUAUAGAUACUGCUUUAGGAAAACACUGUUUGUAGUCGUGAAAAGUGCCAAAUUGGCAGAGGCUCACGUUUCUUCUCUUUACACCAAACAGCAGAGAGAGAUCAUCAUUGCCUGAAUUUAGCUUUGUGACUACAACAGCAAGACCUGUUCCUGUCUGGAGACGACUGUUAUCACUAUCAUUUUGUUUGCCCUUUAUCAAUUUGAAUAGAUGUUUACAUGCAUUAUAAUUAGCAUUUUAUCUUUACAGUUCUCUAAGGGUACAUCUGAGUCCAGAAGUAUAUCUGAGUGUGUGCUUUGUUUUACUUUAUCCUAAAUAUUUUUACCCUUACUUUAUGACCAUUAUUUUUUUUAUACACCAUAAGAAGGUAAAACAUCUCUUGGUUUCCUAAUAGGACAUAAGUUCAGUCUUCGCAAAGUUGAGAAUUGUAUCUAGGAAACCUGUAAAGCCAUGAUGCUGUUUUAACAUGAACAAUUUAGAAUGAAGAAAAUGAUUAAAAAGUUAAGUAUGGGUACAGUUUUCAUUUGGCGGGGGGAGGUUUAAAAGGGGGCAUUCCUGGGGUUAGAAUAGUCAAAAUAAUUUUGAAGAGAUGAUAAAAUACUUUUUUACUCACUCUUGCGAAUUUCUUAUAAAUAUGCUUAGUGAAGUUGUUCCCAAGACCACUUACCUGAAUAAUUUUUUUAAAAAAACUCUUAGCUGUCCAAAACCAACAAUGAGAAUAUUUUUCUUUCUUUUCAAGUAUUGCAGGAUGACUUGUGGAGUAUAAGCAUUGAAAAAAUAUCUAUUAAAUAUCUAAUUUACACAAUUUUUCCAUAUUUUCCUCACACUCAAGAUAUCAGACAAUCAUAAAAGCAAGGGGAGGUAGUGUUGUGUGUCUAACAUUGUUAAAGACUACUAUAAUUUUCCGGUCUUAAAAGGUGUGUGCCCAUAUUUAUUAAUAAGCAGUAUGGCUUAAAAUUAUUUAUAAAGUGUGAAUGAAUUUAAUCCUAGGUAUUUGUCCAAAGUAUCUUUUUUAUAAUGGGCAUUAAUUUAAAACCCAGUUUUCAGAAAAUCAAUUUUCGAGUAUUUUGAAUUCUUGUGAGGCAUUUGAGAAAGUUAGACAUUACACUUGGUACAAACUUUAUUAGAAAAGUCCAAAUGGCACUUGGUUAUAUUCACCCUUGUUCUUGCUAUAUUUUCCUUUUUGUGUGUGUGGAAAGUUGACUAUUCUGUAAACACUUCUUUCUUGAGUAUGCAUUGCAUUUGUCUUCAUGAAAAAUAAAAAGAAUGAACACAUCAGACAUAAUGUAAAUGAUCUAUUUUGAUCCACUGUAGUUGGGAGACAGCAUAGUUAAUAGUAGGCUUGGUAUGAAGGAAAAAUACAUACUUUGGAAGGUCUUCUAACAUAAUUAUGACCUAGUGUACAAGGCUUUUUAAAAAUAGACUUUAGUUUUAAUUUAUAUUUGCAAACUAGCAUAUAGUUGUAGGGAGUUUGUAAAUAUUUUCCCAGAUUAAUUCAGUAUUUUUUCAAGGAAAGAUUCUCUGCCUGUCCAGUAGUGGUUUACGUGCUGCAUUAGAAACCCAAAGAACAUUGUCUGUAGGGGCCAUAUUUGCUGUUAACAGUUUUAGCUGGUUAUUGGAUGUGGACCACAUACUACCACCCUCAUUUUUUUUUUUUUUUUAUCAUCAUCCUGGUUUCUCCUUGCCUUUAAAUUAAAAACAAAAUAAACCAAAACAAAAUUGAACAUACCACUUGGAAUCAGAGUUGAAGUGAUUUGAUUCUCAAGAUCAUUGCGCUUUUUAGAAAUUGCUGUGAGAUCCAGUAGUUCAGUUUCAUAGUUAAAAUUCCCAUAUAUUGAUGAAUUAAGGAUUUUUAUUAUUUCAUUUUCCUGAGUAGAAAUCUCAUGGAGCUAUGUGUAAUUACCUGUGCAAAAUCACUUUUGUGUAAUUGAAUGAAGCAGUUUACCUUUGCAUGAUUACAUUAUGGAAGCCUUUUUUUAAUAUAUAUAUAUAUCUUUAUAUUUUUCAAUAUACUUGGAUUUUACACUACUAGCUGCCCUAGUCAUGCUAUAUUUUUUUUUAAUAGAGUUUAUAAAUAUUUAUGCUCAAAUACAGAUCAAUGGAAUAUUUUGGUCUUGUUUACAAGAUAAAUAAUACUUUAAAAUGAUGCAGUCCCAAAGUGUCUUAGGAAAAAGUCAUUGGUGCUAUAAAAUCUUUCAGUAUCAUUUUUGAACAUGUUAUUUAGACUUUGCUAGGCUUUAAUCUCUGAUUGCUUGUGACUUACUUUAUUCUAAGAGCAAAAUAAUAAAAGUGGUUGGUGGUUAGUGAAGAGCCCAGCCCAAUAGAAACACCCCACAAUUUAAAGAUAAGCAGAAUGGCGGCGUAUUUAUUUGUGCCCAGCUUCCCAAAAAGAGAAUAGUUUCUUCAGUUUGUCAUUGGCUCUUUUAAAUAAGAGGAAUGGUGUUAACCUGGCUAGAAUUUUAAAAAAUGAUACAUUCAGCUUGGCUCAGUUUUCCUGUAUUUCAAGUGGAAAACUUUUUCUAGUCCUAAAAUACGGUAUAGUCCUGCUCUGCUUUAAAUUCCCAUUUGUCUUUUACUCAGCGCGAGGCAGGGUAAUUCUUAAAUAUUUAUAGAACAUUUGAUGCGUUGAAAGAGCUGUAUUAUUAACAUUGUACAAGUUUUGUUUUAAUAUGUAGAUUGUUUUCUACAUCUACAAGACUUCAUUCCAGCACCUUAGUGAAUGUUCUUGAGAUACAAUUUUUAAGUAUCAACAAAGCAUUCAUAGAUGUUUAUUCUUGAUUCUCAGAAUCCUGAAACUGUUUUGGGUGUGAAAGAACAUGUUGUCUGGCACAAGAGUUCCUUUAAUAAGUGGUUUAAUUUAACUCAAUUUCUGUGGAUUGUUCAACCUUAAAACACCAAAGGAAUCUUUUCUUGUCUGGAGACUGGACUGUUGGAGUUUAAUACCUGUGCCCAUACGUAUCCAUUUCACGAAUGUGUGUUGGCAUGGGGAAAAAUUCCCUGCUCUUUGAGUGGAGCAAAAGUAAUUGGUUAAGCUGUAGCAGCUUUUUUUGUUUGUUUAUUUUUAAAAGUACUUACUAAAACUUGAACUGAAAAGGGUAAAACUUGAACUAGAAAACUACUCUUUUAUGCUUAGAAUGCUUAGAAUGUUUAUAGUUUUACAUGU